UACGGGGGGGGCAAGCGUUGUUCGGAAUUACUGGGCGUAAAGGGCUCGUAGGCGGCCAACUAAGUCAGACGUGAAAUCCCUCAGCUUAACUGGGGAAUUGCGUCUGAUACUGGAUGGCUUGGAUUCGGGAGAGGAAUGCGGAAUUCCAGGUGUAGCGGUGAAAUGCGUAGAUAUCUGGAGGAACACCGGUGGCGAAGGCGGCAUUCUGGACCGAUAUUGACGCUGAGGAGCGAAAGCCAGGGGAGCAAACGGG
rnacentral:rRNA from 1 species